AGAAGAAAAAAACCUAAGUCAAAUCGAACUUGUAAAAGCAACUAUUUGAUCGCGACCACUUGGGAUCUACAGUGUGUUUUACAGUAGUUACCAGACAUCGUGUAUCACGGAGUAAAUGAAAUGUGACAACAUCCCCCGGGCUCCUUGUCCUUUUCUGCUGGGUUCCGAAUUAUCCCAUCGCCAGGUCUGCUGCUUUGGACGAAAAUAUACGAUUGCGCAGGUUUGGAACUCAGGGCUGCGAAAGUUGCAUCGUUUUCCUUGGAGCAACAGUUAAUUCGCCAGGUUGGCAGCCAGGAAAAAUCGUCUCUAAAUACAGCUUCUCGACUCCAGAUGUUUUUUUUUAAAAGAGAAGAUGAAGAGAUUUUAUCUAAAAUAGCGUUCCAUUCUAUUCACAUUCUCGGCGGACCUCAAGUGACGGAAGAGUUCACCAGAAUAUACCAAGAUGGAGAAUUAAUGUGGAUUUUUACAACUUCUAAGAGUCAAAUAUCAAUGGAUUUAUGUUCUCUACUUGUACAGUUGUAGACCCGCAAGCUGAUGGAGGAGUUUGGAGAUAUUAUUAUGAAGGGUUCAUCAUUUAAAUCUUGGGAACAACAGUUAAUUCAUGUGAGGACAAACAAAGGAUAUAAGCUAAAUUGAUCUCUAUGGAAUUUAAUUUUACAAAUUGGAUUGCUUGUGAAGAUGAUGGCAUUUGGAUAAUUCUACUAUCAAGAUUCAGAAUGAAUUCCAGCUUGCCCUCUCUAAAUUGCUCCAGCAUGAAACCAACUCUAGAGAAGCAGCAAAGUACAGUACAGAAUCUCCCAGUUUAACUCUUGUUCCUGUUUGGGUUUGAUCAGUAAUGGUGGAACCUCAUGAUCUUGGAUCAAACGGAAAAUGGCUGAUCCCCAGCAAAAACCCUUCAAAUAAGUAAAGCAGAUAAUCAGCAGGAUAGCUGUUCAAAUUCGGGAUCUCACCAACCUCAGUGAGUCAACAGUCAAGAUGGAGAAACUUCACAAACCAAACCACGAGAUGGUCUGCAAUUAACAGUUACAAUUACACAUUUACUGUCUUCUUUAAAUGUUAUGACCUGGCUAAGGUUUUAACCACAGCACAUAUAAAUGACCAAAUUGGAAUUAUGGUCAAAAUUUCAAGAUUUCCUGUAGACCUAAUGGCUCCAAGUUUCCUAAUUUUGAACGUCUGGCCUGUUGUAGACCUCAGGCAAUUGUAGGUUUGUGAUAUGUACAGCACAUUGAAAAACAUUGCCUGUGCAAUAUUCUAUACAGGCACUUUGACCAGUUUGUUACUGUGAAACACAUUUAUUCAGGUGGUCUUACUGUAUAAGACUUAGUUUAUUAAAACACUCGCAAGGUAAAGCAACAACUUUUAUACAACAAAAUAAGUUAACUCCUUCUCAAACUAGGCUGACAGCCUGAAAAACACAGAUAUUACCUCUCCUGGUGAACUCGAUUGGGCUGCUGGAUUCAAUUCACUGAACUCCAAUGACAGAUGUGCUCAGGGUCUGGUAUGAA